GACGAACGCUGGCGGCGUGCUUAACACAUGCAAGUCGAACGGAAAGGCCCUGCUUUUGUGGGGUGCUCGAGUGGCGAACGGGUGAGUAACACGUGAGUAACCUGCCCUUGACUUUGGGAUAACUUCAGGAAACUGGGGCUAAUACCGGAUAGGAGCUCCUGCUGCAUGGUGGGGGUUGGAAAGUUUCGGCGGUUGGGGAUGGACUCGCGGCUUAUCAGCUUGUUGGUAGGGUAGUGGCUUACCAAGGCUUUGACGGGUAGCCGGCCUGAGAGGGUGACCGGCCACAUUGGGACUGAGAUACGGCCCAGACUCUUACGGGAGGCAGCAGUGGGGAAUAUUGCACAAUGGGCGGAAGCCUGAUGCAGCAACGCCGCGUGCGGGAUGACGGCCUUCGGGUUGUAAACCGCUUUCGCCUGUGACGAAGCGUGAGUGACGGUAAUGGGUAAAGAAGCACCGGCUAACUACGUG
rnacentral:rRNA from 1 species